rnacentral:rRNA from 1 species
UACGUAGGGUGCGAGCGUUGCCCGGAUUUAUUGGGCGUAAAGAGCUCGUAGGCGGUCUGUCGCGUCGGCUGUGAAAACCCGGGGCUCAACCCCGGGCCUGCAGUCGAUACGGGCAGACUAGAGUGCGGUAGGGGAGACUGGAAUUCCUGGUGUAGCGGUGAAAUGCGCAGAUAUCAGGAGGAACACCGGUGGCGAAGGCGGGUCUCUGGGCCGUAACUGACGCUGAGGAGCGAAAGCGUGGGGAGCGAACAGG